rnacentral:rRNA from 1 species
AUUGAACGCUGGCGGCAUGCCUUACACAUGCAAGUCGAACGGUAACAGGUCUUCGGAUGCUGACGAGUGGCGAACGGGUGAGUAAUUCAUCGGAACGUGCCUAGUAGUGGGGGAUAACUACUCGAAAGAGUGGCUAAUACCGCAUGAGAUCUACGGAUGAAAGCAGGGGAUCGCAAGACCUUGUGCUACUAGAGCGGCCGAUGGCAGAUUAGGUAGUUGGUGGGAUAAAAGCUUACCAAGCCGACGAUCUGUAGCUGGUCUGAGAGGACGAUCAGCCACACUGGGACUGGGACACGGCCCAGACUCCUACGGGAGGCAGCAGUGGGGAAUUUUGGACAAUGGGCGCAAGCCUGAUCCAGCAAUGCCGCGUGCAGGAUGAAGGCCUUCGGGUUGUAAACUGCUUUUGUACGGAACGAAAAGCCCUGGGUUAAUACCCUGGGGUCAUGACGGUACCGUAAGAAUAAGCACCGGCUAACUACGUGCCAGCAGCCGCCGUAACAC